UACGAAGGGGGCAAGCGUUAUUCGGAUUUAUUGGGCGUAAAGGGCGUGUAGGCGGCUGGGCAAGUCUGGUGUGAAAACGCUACCGCUUAACGGAGCGAUUGCGCUGGAAACUGCUCAACUUGAGUUCGAGAGAGGUGGACAGAAUGCCUGGUGUAGCGGUGGAAUGCUUAGAUAUCAGGCAGAAUACCAGAGGCGAAGGCGGUUCACUGGCUCGACACUGACGCUGAGGCGCGAAAGCGUGGGUAGCAAACGGG
rnacentral:misc_RNA from 1 species